AUCUAAUCGGAAAUUAGCUUUUAGAUUAGACUAGCUCUACCUGCUCAGUUAAGUUGCUCUCAUGCCCUGAUCAACAUUACAUGACCAACUGAGUAGAGCUGAGCCCUUUCUCACUCCAGACCAACCAAUCUAAUCACUUGGGUAUAAAGUACUCUUUAUAAGCCAGAUAAGUCAUUGGGUAGAAACAUGAGUUGCAGAGAAGCCCAAGGUGCAUUCUGAUUUUAUUUCUAAGAGGCAAGUGGAUGGACCGCCAUCAUGACAAGGCUCAUCUCUACAAUAAAAAUCAAGACUAGAAGCUUCUUCAGAGGGAGGGUUUUAACUUCUGUGUAUCAUUAGCAGGUUCCAAUUUCAGGCCCAGGGCAUUUUGAGACCUCGCUUUAACAUGGAUUGCUGAAAAGUGAAAUCUCAACCUGCAUACGCACCAUUCUAUUGGGGAAAAUUGCGCAAGUAGGGCAUUAGGGACAACCAAUGGCAAUUACGGACAGAUCUUGGGAGGUGGGAGGAGGCAGGGCCUGCCUGGUUUGCACCUUUGAGCUAUAGGCACUGUUUUCUGAGGCCGAGCAAUAGCCUCAAACGGACCACGUGUUCCUGCUACUCGUUAGUCCUUCAGAGACCAUAGGCACCCAUGGUUUGGCAGAGCCCCAUCAGGUGACUUCCAAUAAUUGAUUUCUAUGGCUGAAUAUGUGAAGAUAAACUAUUUACAACGAGUUUGACUGUGGAUAUUUCUCUUACCUAGUGAACAUUCACUGCACAAGCUGACCCAUCAGGCCUAUCUUUUUAAGUUGUAAUAUUCUGAGAAAGAUUUUACCUCUGGCCAGCCAUUUCAUUGGUUUGGGGGCAUAAACAACUAACAGAGCAAGUGACUCAGAUCUUACAACAGACUCAAUUUUAGCUCUUCGACUGUAGCCAUAUACUAAUGAGGACAAGAAUCAUCAUAUACAGUAAAAGAGAAAUGGGUCAGGAAUGGGGAACUUCACACUCUGCUCUCACUUCAAUAAACAAUGAUGAUAGAAGUACUACCAGGUUUAUAGACAGUAUCUCAUUUAAACCUCAACAAAUCUAGAUGAAUGUAUUAUCACUCACCCUCUGUAUCGAGGAUGCAAUUGGGGCUCAGAGAGGUGAAGUGACUUGUCUGAAAUCACACAGCUAGGAUAGGAUUCUCUUGCAGAUAAUACCCAUGAUCUUAACUAAUAAACUCAACUCGCUAGACUGACUCACUUUUGUCUCCACUCCCUUCUGUGUUCAAGGAAGGAAUCACACUGGAUAAUCUUCAGCACUAAAAUGCCAGGCUUCUAUGGUUCCCACAUGGGCCAGCUUUGCUGUGUGACAGGGCCACAGAAGGGACCGCCUUGUCCCUGAACACACAUCUGACAGCCAGCAACACACUCGGUGGGAGAAGGGCUUGGGUGACAAGUGUGUGGCUGGCACAGCCAGACUGGUACGCAAUAGGAGAAAGCAUGAUGUGCCUGCCGUAUGAUGGUGUCCUGGCAGGGGACCCACACACAGGAGGUAUGACAUGUCAAUACAUGCUUCUGGAUGGUGACCACUGGUCCCACCAUCUUGAUGCCAACAACCACACAGCAGCCUGAGCACCACUUGGCUGGCACGGCUCUGACAUGACGUUUAUUCCUCUUUCCAGAACGGCUCAAAACGAGAAAAGAAAACCGUACAGACAAGAGUCAGGGGUCAGCCAGGCCAGAGGCCUGAAGCCCUCGUGUAGCGAAGAGGCUCCAGACACGAGUUUAGCUCCCAACGAUUGCUGCUACUUGAAAAACAGUGUCUCCUCCCUUGGGGCCUGGGCAGGAGGGGUUCGGGCCGCACCGUCCCAUCGCCCAUAUGCAGAACCUUGAAAAUCAUUAUAGCAGUUUCAUUUCUCUACGCUGGGGCACCUCUUGUUCCCUAAAACACAGAAAACGAAAGUGAUUUAAAAGCAAACAUCUCAAGACUUGAGAAUGCGAAAUGCUUCUGAAAAUGCUGGCUGGUGACAAUCAAGUCGUUCCAUCAGCUCAUACAGCCCGUCAGCUGCAGCCAGGGACUCCAAAUUCAGCAUGCCAGCCCUCCCUGCUGCUCCUGCACCCCCUGGCCAGCUGGAGAGCUCUCGAAGCUGGUGAUCUAGGGUCGAAAACAAUGUGGAGAAUCUCCGGCCAGGGCUGUGGAAUGGACGGGAUUCUAUUUAUAAGCAGAGAGGGGCUGAACAAUGGAGCAACUGCCGCCUCAGUGGGUCUGUGGCCUGACCUCCGGUGGGACUCUGGAAAGCCUCAAAGCCAGACCCCGGAAGAGACGGCACAGGAAGGAGGGGAUUAGGCUGCUCAAGGGCAUGAAGCCAGCUGCUUCCUCCAGCGUCUGAUCACCUUCAUCAGAGAGCGGCUAGUGAGCCCCCAUCUGCCUUUGCUGUGCACCAACGGGAGCUGAACAGAUUCGGCCUCUGCCCCGCCUCCCUCCCCGGGGGGUGCGGUAUAGACGAGGACCAGGACCACGUACCAGGUCGGAGCCAGAAGAAUGGGAGCAAGUAACCACACGAUAGGCAGCACGUUUGCUGUGGUCCAUGUCCAAGGCUGGACAGGUGCAUGGCAGUGUCCCUGGCACAAGCAGGCGGGUAUUUCUUCUAAUAUAAUGACUACAUCGGGGGAGAAAAAUCGUGAGAACCGAUGGUGGACGGCCUGGGGCUGGCAGAGGGCAGGGGCGUGGGGCGCCAGGCUGGGCAGGGGGCACUGCCCAGGUUCCUUCUGGCUCUAUCAACAUCCGGUUUAAGACUCAGCAAAUGGCUUACUCUCCUGGCUUCAUGCUCUCAUCUGGCAUAUGUGGGUCACAGGAUCUAGCUUGUAGGUUAAACGUGAAAAUGUCCGUGAAGUGCUUAGGACAGACAGGACCUGGCACAUAGUAAAUCUCCUGUGAGUUAUCACCACUAUUAUAAUGGAAUACAAAAGAGGAAUGUGUGUUAGAAACACACCCCCAGGAAGUAAGCUAUGCUUCUGCCCAGUGACACCGACGAUGAAGCAGCUCCCAGCAUGAGUUCCGAGGAAUCUGGCUCCAGCAGCAAAGUUCCCUGGUCAGAAAGAUUUGGGAAAUGGCAGACUAUUUCAUCUUUCUGAUUUACAAAGCAAAUUUGCAUAUUAAAGGCUCAAAAGAGGCCUUCGGUAUGAAAAUCUGUUCAAUUUCGUUCUGUCCAUUCUCCUCCCCAACUUAGCUCACCACAGAACCCUUUCCGUUUUGGCUGAAUACGAACCUCUCCCAGGAAUCACUUCAAACAGAGGUUUGGGGGCCAAAACAGUCCCAGGGUAACUGCUUGUUUCCACAGGCGAGCAAGACGAGAGUAGACAAACCAGGGAGAACGAGGGUAGGGGGGAGAGACGGCUCUAGACAGCCCGGGCCAGGGGUACCCUGUUUCUGCUUUCCACCCAGCAGGCAACUCCUAGAAGGAACAGGAAUGUACGAAUCGGCAGGCGCUCAGGGGUGCCAGCCAGGUGUUCUGGGAGACAGUGGGAUGAUGAAGCCAGAGGGAAGGGAGAGACUGAGACCCAAGCUCGGGAAGGUGUGGGGACGCCGCUCCUCCUCUGUCACCUUGUCAUAGCCGGCUACAUGGAGGAAGGAAGGAGGAGCCAUGCUGGGAGGCAGGGUGAGGUCAAGGAAGGUACCCUCCCACCCCCCAUGAUGAACCGAGGCGGGUUUGGGAGCUGACAGCCCGCCUGUGCUGCAAUAUAUGUCUAUAUCUAUAGAUUUCUAUUGAGCAGAUGGCCCAACAAGCAGCUGAAAUGUAAGAUGCACGUCUCUCGUUGACAAUUCAGAAAGAUCCCUUACCUUGGAUUAAUGGCAACCCCCCCGCCAUGUCCAUGGGAGUAAGGUCCUUUCAGACGCUCCCCUGCAGGGGAAAAUAUGUCUGGUUAUUGCAGUUAAAAGGUUUCUAGGAAUGUGGCCCACAGACCACUGUGAAGCUUAAGAACAGAUUCAAGGGCCCAAGUCAGCUCUCUGACCAGAAUCCCAAAGUAAAGCUGAGCACUCCUGCGUCAGAGCUUCGUUAUGUGGGGGGGUGAUCCCUCACCCAGUGGUGUCAUGUCUUUGACGACGAGGGGCUCAACCACCACGUGGAAGAUACGCCCCACUACAAACCCGGGGAGGCUGAAGCGGGAAUCUAGAACUCUUUACCCCGGAGAUAGGGCAAGGUCAUGUGAGACAAGAAGUCUUCAUUUAGUGAGAACCUAGUCUGUGCGGGGGGCUCUGCCAUGUGUCAUGCCCCCUGCAAGACCAGCCUUCCCAUCUCCAUCACCAGCGAGGGAAAGGCCCUCGGGACACCAGGUGGCCACAGAUCUUGCCUGGUUCUGGUGACAGAGUCCAUGAUGGUUAGGAUCAGGUCAACCUACCGAGUCCAUACUCUUCCUGCAGUGCCGAUGACCUGACCUAGAAAGUUCUCUGAAGGUUGCCAGGACCGGAGAGCAAAGGGCAAGCACCGGACACUCACGCAAACAGGCAGGACAACACAGAGGGGACCACUGCUUCAGGUCUCGAGGGCUUCACAGCCACAUCAACACGCAAGGGGACCUGCACGCACACCUAUUCCUCUGUCCCUGAGAAACCCAUUUGCUGGCCUCUAUCAGUGUUGCCAUCUGAAGCACCAACUACAAACAUAGGACAUUUGUGCCUGGAAAAGCCAAACAAAACACAACCUCGCUCGUUAAACUGUCUUCCCGUUUUCCUUCCUGCCUCUCCUCCGCCACACCAGCAGAAAUAUAAAUUAGGCCAGCGAGGUUGCCCACCUGCCCGCCGCAGCAAGAGCGGGUGGGCCUCGUCCGGGGCCCGAGCAGCCCCUGUGGUCCCUUCCCCUCAUGGGGACCCGGGCCCCACACUGCUGCCCCUCUUCAGAAAGGGCUCCCGCCCCUGGGAGCUCGGGUUUCAGUGGAUGCACACAGGCUGUGCUCGGAGAUGACCCCGGCCACCUACCAGUGUAAUCGACCCCAGCAAAGGCAGGCAGAGGGGCUGGGGCACCGGCAGCGCAUUCCUCGGUGCUGCCGCCUGACAGCGAGCAGCGGGGGCGUUAUCAUGUCGGGCACAGCUGAUGUGGCCUUAUGGAGAGAUGUCACAUGCCACCUUUGCGGAGGAUUAACGCAGAGAAUUCGAGGUCAAGGGUUUAGGCCAAACCAGCUUCUAUUUAUAAAAAAGAUCCUCAGGGGGGAAACAGGAGGGCAGGAGACUGGCUCGGUCGGGUGCCAGUCGGCAGGAUGACACGCCGAGGCAGAAGUCUGCUCUCACCGCCCUGCCCCCUUUAAAGCGAGGCCCUCCACCCGGAGCUUUUCCCAGGGAUCUGAGCGCCUGCUGUCUCUAGACGGCCCAUGUGUGUGAACUAAAGAGAGCACAGGCGGGAGGAACGAGCCCCAUGUCUGGCGGUGUGGAUGUCGUGGGGGCUGUCCCUUGCUCCACAGCUGAGGGGGCCUCGUGUGAGAGCAGGUGGAGACAGGCUCUUUAAUUCCACAAGGACCCAAACGGGUAUGUGUUAAGCAGCUCAGGUCGGAGCUGAGAAGGGCAGGUGUGCUGACAGAAGACGCAGACAGACCCCUACUCUUUUUGCCUAGGCAGCACUGGGAGCAGGACAAGCCACCCAGGGACCCCAGGGACCUAUUUCUGGUCUGGGGGUCCUAAAACCUGACAAUGCUGCACGAUGACACUCCUCUUCUGAGGGGCCUAAGAACCAGGGAGCCCAACGCCCUGGGGCGUCCAGGCCUAAUUUCAGGCCUACUGAGUCGCAGUCUGCAGGACUGGGGCUCGAGGGCCUGUACUUCACACACAACCUCCAGGCGAGCCUUGCAGAGUGGGCCUGGCAGAGCGGGCUGUGGCACGGGGCAUCGCCCCCAUAAGCUAACAGAACCAGCGAGACCACACUGGCUGUCACGGGACAGAUACAAUCACAUGGAAAACUUUUAUUAAAACAUUUUAAAAUAGAACUUUCCAAUAUGUAAAACUCUAAACAACCCUUCCUGACCCUCCCCUGCCAUGACCUGAGCCAAUGCACGGUCGCAUCCUGGCCCGACUGGGAUGUGAGGCAGUCCCUGUUUGUCGGCAACUGCCGAGGACACCACAGGCCUAAGAAGUAAAACUUGCCCAGACCUGAAAGCUACUGCACUUCACGCGCUUUGAUAAGACUGAAGUUGGGGUCCCUCGGCCAUGCCGGCAAACACGUGGCUGGAGUCGGCGGCGGCGGCCGUGUUGGCGUGGUGACCAAUGUCACUGUCACUGGAGAUAAAGGCGCUCUUCUCCAUCACGCCUCUGCAGAGUCGAAGAAAUCAGCUGCGGGACACACAGCACCCAGAGCCAAACCGAGAAGACGAGCUGACGGGGCUGGUCCAAGGGCGGCAUCCCCGUCCUCGGCGCCCACCGGCCUAUUUUCCAGGCUCGCCUCACAGCCACCUGUACUUUUACUUAAGGUGCCACGAGCUCUUCUGAAACUCAGCCCGCGUGAGGGAGCUCGUGGCGCUCCACCCAAUCAAAGGCUGGCGCCUGAUUCCCAAUGGCAGCAAGGACACGAGUGGGAGAUACCAAAAGAAGGCCACAAAGAGGUGGCAAGCCAGCACUGAACCUCUUCCCUGGGCGAGGGCCUAGGCCUGAGGAGAGCGGGGUCUUGGGAGAAGCCCCCGCCCACCCUCUCCGUCCACCCGUCGUUUCCUAGGCUGCUAACUUCCGGUGUCGCCCUUG